ACAAAUGCCCUGCUUCCAGGAAAAGCCUCUAAGCAUCAGGUAACACGAAAUCGUACCCCAAACCGACACAGGUGGUCAGGUAGAGAAUACCAAGGCGCUUGAGAGAACUCGGGUGAAGGAACUAGGCAAAAUGGUGCCGUAACUUCGGGAGAAGGCACGCUGACACGUAGGUGAAGUGAUUUACUCAUGGAGCUGAAGUCAGUCGAAGAUACCAGCUGGCUGCAACUGUUUAUUAAAAACACAGCACUGUGCAAACACGAAAGUGGACGUAUACGGUGUGACGCCUGCCCGGUGCCGGAAGGUUAAUUGAUGGGGUCAGCGUAAGCGAAGCUCCUGAUCGAAGCCCCGGUAAACGGCGGCCGUAACUAUAACGGUCCUAAGGUAGCGAAAUUCCUUGUCGGGUAAGUUCCGACCUGCACGAAUGGCGUAAUGAUGGCCAGGCUGUCUCCACCCGAGACUCAGUGAAAUUGAACUCGCUGUGAAGAUGCAGUGUACCCGCGGCAAGACGGAAAGACCCCGUGAACCUUUACUAUAGCUUGACACUGAACAUUGAGCCUUGAUGUGUAGGAUAGGUGGGAGGCUUUGAAGUGUGGACGCCAGUCUGCAUGGAGCCGACCUUGAAAUACCACCCUUUAAUGUUUGAUGUUCUAACGUGGACCCGUAAUCCGGGUUGCGGACAGUGUCUGGUGGGUAGUUUGACUGGGGCGGUCUCCUCCUAAAGAGUAACGGAGGAGCACGAAGGUUGGCUAAUCCUGGUCGGACAUCAGGAGGUUAGUGCAAUGGCAUAAGCCAGCUUGACUGCGAGCGUGACGGCGCGAGCAGGUGCGAAAGCAGGUCAUAGUGAUCCGGUGGUUCUGAAUGGAAGGGCCAUCGCUCAACGGAUAAAAGGUACUCCGGGGAUAACAGGCUGAUACCGCCCAAGAGUUCAUAUCGACGGCGGUGUUUGGCACCUCGAUGUCGGCUCAUCACAUCCUGGGGCUGAAGUAGGUCCCAAGGGUAUGGCUGUUCGCCAUUUAAAGUGGUACGCGAGCUGGGUUUAGAACGUCGUGAGACAGUUCGGUCCCUAUCUGCCGUGGGCGCUGGAGAACUGAGGGGGGCUGCUCCUAGUACGAGAGGACCGGAGUGGACGCAUCACUGGUGUUCGGGUUGUCAUGCCAAUGGCACUGCCCGGUAGCUAAAUGCGGAAGAGAUAAGUGCUGAAAGCAUCUAAGCACGAAACUUGCCCCGAGAUGAGUUCUCCCUGAGACUUAGAGUCUCCUGAAGGAACGUUGAAGACGACGACGUUGAUAGGCCGGGUGUGUAAGCGCAGCGAUGCGUUGAGCUAACCGGUACUAAUGAACCGUGAGGCUUAACCUUACA
rnacentral:rRNA from 1 species